AGUCCACGCCAUCCCACCCUGAACGCACCCGAUCUCGUCUGAUUUCGGAAGCUAAGCAGGUCGGGCCUGGUUAGUGCUUGGAUGG
rnacentral:rRNA from 1 species